UUGGAAAAUUGACAACAACGCUAC
rnacentral:siRNA from 1 species